rnacentral:rRNA from 1 species
UACGAAGGGGGCUAGCGCUGCUCGGAAUCACUGGGCGUAAAGCGCACGUAGGCGGAUCUUUAAGUCAGGGGUGAAAUCCUGGAGCUCAACUCCAGAACUGCCUUUGAUACUGGGGAUCUCGAGUCCGGGAGAGGUGAGUGGAACUCCGAGUGUAGAGGUGAAAUUCGUAGAUAUUCGGAAGAACACCAGUGGCGAAGGCGGCUCACUGGCCCGGUACUGACGCUGAGGUGCGAAAGCGUGGGGAGCAAACAGG